rnacentral:misc_RNA from 1 species
AAAUUCACACAUACAAAUAUACAUAAAAAAAAAAAUACUAGCCCUAAUAAUGAUUUUAUACUGGAGAGGGUGAGGGAGCAUGUAUCCAGCAAAGAGAACAUUUUCGUCCCUGUGCAACUGCCUAAUUACACCAAAAAAAUUAUUAAAAAAGAGCAGAAAUUAGAGUUUGAUUAAGCUACAAUCAACAAAACCACAAAAAAGGAAAAAGAAAUUAAUAAAAACAUGCGAAGAAUGUUGCCAAUGGUAUGGUCCUCUCUCUCUACAGUGAACGAGGCUGCAUUUAUGAUCUUCGUGUCUCUCUCGUACGAAACCCUAGCAAAGAAAAUUUUCUAGUGGAGAGAAGGAAAAGCCGCGAUGGUGAGUUUUAGAGAAGAAAGAGCUUUGUAGAGGGAGCAGAGCGGAGAGAGAAAGUGAAAUUACUUUUUAGUACCCUCUGGAACAAAGAAUCGCUCGUAGCGGUCGGGGGCGUUCAUGGUUUCUUUCUUUCUCUUUGAAGCUGGGCGUGC